CGUGUAGGCGGCCAGAUAAGUCCGCUGUGAAAACUCGAGGCUCAACUUCGAGCUGUCGGCGGAAACUAUCUGGCUAGAGUCCGGAAGAGGAGAGUGGAAUUCCUGGUGUAGCGGUGAAAUGCGCAGAUAUCAGGAAGAACACCCGUGGCGAAGGCGGCUCUCUGGGACGGUACUGACGCUGAGACGCGAAGCGUGGGAGCGAACA
rnacentral:rRNA from 1 species